ACGGCGGGGUGGUUCCAGUUCCAGAAAUUUCUUCUGGUAUUGCUUCGCAGCUGACCCUUAAGAUGCAAACAUUCUUAAUCGCAGAAUUUACCUGAUAUUCUGAAAAAUUAUUAUCCGGACCAUACAACAAGGCCUUCAAGACUGUCGCGGGAACUCUGGCGAGAUGGACUGCGACGUGCUGGAGAUCCUGGGAUAGCGAUCGGACCUGAUGAUAUUGAUGACGAAGCGACUGAUUUCAGCAAGCCAAUUUCAGGCUCCAUAUUCAGCUCAGAUAUAGUUAUAUCACAGAUAGACUACUGUGAAAUACUCACUGUAGUAAUGAAUUUUACAAAAUCCCUUCGGAAGGGAAGGCGACAUUUCAAGAACCACACCGCUAUUACGUGGUGUGCCAGAGAUACCGUGUAAUGAUUGUACUUGAAGGGAUUGGUGUAUGGUAACGAUAUUGCAAAUACAGACAUAUACUGGUCGCCGAUAAAGCUUGCAAACACUUUGGGCAGUCUUGUAAGAGCUGUAAUAAUCAUGAUAUACGUGAAUAUCCCAUAAAAAAAAAUAAAACUGGUAACUAGUAUGCAAAAUUAACUUUUGUAAAAUAGUUUUUUAUUUAUAAAUAAUAUUAUUGGUAUAGAUACAUGAAGGAUGAUCAAUAGAAAACGGGCGGACCUAUAGUUAACUAAUAUCGGUGUCUUUCAACCUAAAUCUCACAUAUUUCGUAAAAUCGUAAAAGCACUUACUUGACAAAAAUUCGAGUAUUGGGAUAGCAAUGUAAACUGUUGCUGAGAUUUUUGAUAGGUUCAGAAGAACCUCGGAUAGAAGCUUGUUCAUUGCAUCACGCAUUUCUAAUGUACAAGUUGUAAGGCUGGUUACACAUUGACUGGCACAUCUUGUGGUGAGGCCAAGCUAAGAAUGUAAGGAAAUGAUUACACUUAAAGCAUAUAUGGCUAUAAAUAAGUGAAUCCGCUGAGUACUUGGCUUUAUGAAUAGGUUUAACAAGUUUGAAAUCAUAUUAUUACCUCCAAACACUUUAUCAGACGCUGCUGCAAAUUUGGCUCAAGGUGUGCGUGAUAUGAUGCCAAAGAUGCCAAUACCGGAAAUACAAAUCCCCGGAAUUCAGACACUGUGAACUUUGGAGGCGUGUUGUAUAGGGUCUCUGAUAAAAGGAUAAAAUGUAAUGCCUGAGAAUACUCACCGUUACCAUGGAGCACAGAGCUGCAGCUAGACAAUCAAUAUCAUUGCUAUGUCUUGAGAGGAUGAGUGCUUUGUUUUGCAUAACUUGAGGCAUUUCUCUUAGCAACAAGUGAAGAACUCGCCAAUCUGGUAAAUCGAAGUAAAACAAUACAAGAUUUUGAAGACAAGGACAAGUACCUUUUUCCUGCUUGAGACACAUUACCACACAUUUACAGGCAUGGGCGAGCGACAUAUGAGUAACCUGGCAUGAAAUGUGCUGUGAUGGUGCAGGACUAGCUGGUGGUGGACUGUUCCCGCCUCCGCUGUUUACAUUAUUUCCAAGUCUAUCAGCCGGUGCAUGUUCCAAUACCAGCUUAUCUGACAAUAAGUUUCUACAUUGACGCUGCGGCACAGGGCAGUAAUGAAUGUGGGCAGUGAAUCCGGCUGUAAAUUACCAUAGCAAACAACAGCGUCAAGGGCUUCUAAGCAUCCAGAAACUACCUCAGCACUAUUACUGCAAUAGCACAAAUGACAAAUGUAUCUGCAAAAACAUGAGAAAUAUAUUUGCAAUGUGAAAUUAA
rnacentral:lncRNA from 1 species